rnacentral:rRNA from 1 species
GACGAACGCUGGCGGCGUGCUUAACACAUGCAAGUCGAACGGAAAGGCCCUGCUUGCCGGGUACUCGAGUGGCGAACGGGUGAGUAACACGUGGGUGAUCUGCCCUGCACUUCGGGAUAAGCCUGGGAAACUGGGUCUAAUACCGGAGAGGAGCCAUUUUUAGUGUGAUGGUUGGAAAGUUUUUUCGGUGUAGGAUGAGCUCGCGGCCUAUCAGCUUGGUGGUGGGGUAAUGGGCUACCAAGGCGGCGACGGGGAGGCGGGCCGGGGGGGUGGACGGACACAUUGGGACUGGGAUACGGCCCAGACCCCUACGGGAGGCAGGAGGGGGGAAUAUUGCACAAUGGGCGCAAGCCUGAUGCAGCGACGCCGCGUGGGGGAUGACGGGCUUCGGGUUGUAAACUCCUUUCGCUAGGGACGAAGCUUUUUGUGACGGUACCUAGAUAAGAAGCACCGGCUAACUACGUG